rnacentral:rRNA from 1 species
AGUGAACGCUGGCGGUAGGCCUAACACAUGCAAGUCGAACGGCAGCACAGUAAGAGCCUGCUCUUACGGGUGGCGAGUGGCGGACGGGUGAGGAAUACAUCGGAAUCUACUUUUUCGUGGGGGAUAACGUAGGGAAACUUACGCUAAUACCGCAUACGACCUACGGGUGAAAGCAGGGGAUCUUCGGACCUUGCGCGAUUGAAUGAGCCGAUGUCGGAUUAGCUAGUUGGCGGGGUAAAGGCCCACCAAGGCGACGAUCCGUAGCUGGUUUGAGAGGAUGAUCAGCCACACUGGAACUGAGACACGGUCCAGACUCCUACGGGAGGCAGCAGUGGGGAAUAUUGGACAAUGGGCGCAAGCCUGAUCCAGCCAUACCGCGUGGGUGAAGAAGGCCUUCGGGUUGUAAAGCCCUUUUGUUGGGAAAGAAAAGCAGCAGGUUAAUACCCCGCUGUUCUGACGGUACCCAAAGAAUAAGCACCGGCUAACUUCGUG